GCCUGUGCUCUGGAGCUUGAUCCGAAAGCUUCCACAGUGAGGACUGCUCCGUGGGUCAGAAGUUGAGUUACAGGAAGAUUCGCCAGAGAUUUAUCGCCUGGCCCCAAACUUGGAGAGCCUCGUUGUCAUAAACAGCCAUCUAUUGUCUAGACUUUUAUCUCCGGGGUAAGAGAGCACCAGGCACUGAGGCCUGGGAGUUCCACAGACCAACACCCCUGCUCCUGGCGGCUCCCACCCGGGACUUAGACCCUCAGGUCCCUAAUAUCCCGGAGGUGCUCUCAAUCAGAAAGGUCCUGCUCCGCUUCGCAGUGGAAUGGAACGGAUUUAGAAGCCUGCAGUAGGGGAGUGGGGAGUGGAGAGAGGGAGCCCAGAGUUACAGACGGCGGCGAGAGGCCCCAAAGAGUCUGAUGUUUACAAGACCAGAAAUGCCACGGCCGCGUCCUGGCAGAGAAAAGGCUGAAAUGGAGGACCGGCGCCUUCCUUAUAAGUAUGCACAUUGGCGAGAGAAGUGCUGCAACCUAAACCAGCAAUUACACCCAAGCUCGUUGGGGCCUAAGCCAGUACCGACCUGGUAGAAAAAGCAACCACGAAGCUAGAGAGAGAGCCAGAGGAGGGAAGAGAGCGCCAGACGAAGGUGAAAGCGAACCACGCAGAGAAAUGCAGGCAAGGGAGCAAGGCGGCAGUUCCCGGAACAAACGUGGCAGAGGGCAAGACGGGCACUCACAGACAGAGGAGUGAUUAUGCAGUGGGACCCUGCUGCAAACGGGACUUUGCACUCUAAAUAUAGACCCCAGCUUGGGACAAAAGUUGCAGUAGAAAAAUAGACAUAGGAGAACACUUAAAUAAGUGAUGCAUGUAGACACAGAAGGGGUAUUUAAAAGACAGAAAUAAUAGAAGUACAG
rnacentral:lncRNA from 1 species